rnacentral:rRNA from 1 species
CGCUGGCGGCGUGCCUAAUACAUGCAAGUCGAACGGCUUUUCUAUGGAAGCUUGCUUCCGCUGAGAAGAUAGUGGCGAACGGGUGAGUAACACGUGGGUAACCUGCCCAUAAGAGGGGGAUAACAUCCGGAAACGGGUGCUAAUACCGCAUAGUUUUCUUGAUCGCAUGAUCGGGAAAGGAAAGACGGCCUUUGUGCUGUCGCUUAUGGAUGGACCCGCGGCGUAUUAGUUAGUUGGUGAGGUAACGGCUCACCAAGACGAUGAUACGUAGCCGACCUGAGAGGGUGAUCGGCCACAUUGGGACUGAGACACGGCCCAAACUCCUACGGGAGGCAGCAGUAGGGAAUCUUCCGCAAUGGACGAAAGUCUGACGGAGCAACGCCGCGUGAGUGAAGAAAGGUUUUCGGAUCGUAAAACUCUGUUGUCAGAGAAGAACAAGUUGGAGAGUAACUGCUCCAGCCUUGACGGUAUCUGACCAGAAAGCCACGGCUAACUACGUGCCAGCAGCGGC